GACGAACGCUGGCGGCGUGCUUAACACAUGCAAGUGGAGCGACGAACUGAGGCUUGCCUCGGGGCAGAGCCGCGAACGGGUGAGUAACACGUGGGUAACCUACCUCAAUGACCGGGACAACCCGAGGAAACUCGGGCUAAUACCGGAUGUGCUCCUUUGACAUCAGUCUUUGGAGGAAAGAUAGCUUUGGCCUUCGCAUUGAGAUGGGCCCGCGGCGCAUUAGUUUGUUGGUGGGGUAACGGCCUACCAAGACUUCGAUGCGUAGCUGGUCUGAGAGGACGAUCAGCCACACUGGGACUGAGACACGGCCCAGACUCCUACGGGUGGCUG
rnacentral:rRNA from 1 species